AACUUAAUAUUUCUCCGAGCCUUUUCCCCUAAAUCCCGGUGUAAUCGGGACACGGGGAUUGGCCGAUAGGGUGCCGCGGGAAACGGCGGCGCCUCCCGUGUUUGGAAAGGAGAGCGACUUUGAUUCAU
rnacentral:ncRNA from 2 species